rnacentral:rRNA from 1 species
GACGAACGCUGGCGGCGUGCUUAACACAUGCAAGUCGAACGGAAAGGCCCUGCUUGCAGGGUACUCGAGUGGCGAACGGGUGAGUAACACGUGGGUGAUCUGCCCUGCACUUCGGGAUAAGCCUGGGAAACUGGGUCUAAUACCGGAUAGGAGCCAUUUUUAGUGUGAUGGUUGGAAAGUUUUUUCGGUGUAGGAUGAGCUCGCGGCCUAUCAGCUUGUUGGUGGGGUAAUGGCCUACCAAGGCGGCGACGGGUAGCCGGCCUGAGAGGGUGGACGGCCACAUUGGGACUGAGAUACGGCCCAGCCUCCUACGGGCGGCAGCCGUGGGGAAUAUUGCACAAUGGGCGCGAGCCUGAUGCAGCGACGCCGCGUGGGGGAUGACGGCCUUCGGGUUGUAAACUCCUUUCGCUAGGGACGAAGCUUUUUGUGACGGUACCUAGAUAAGAAGCACCGGCUAACUACGUG